rnacentral:rRNA from 1 species
AAAUUGAACGCUGGCGGCAUGCUUUACACAUGCAAGUCGAACGGUAACAGGUCUUCGGAUGCUGACGAGUGGCGAACGGGUGAGUAACACAUCGGAACGUGCCUAGUAGUGGGGGAUAACUACUCGAAAGAGUAGCUAAUACCGCAUGAGAUCUAAGGAUGAAAGCAGGGGACCUUCGGGCCUUGCGCUACUAGAGCGGCUGAUGGCAGAUUAGGUAGUUGGUGGGAUAAAAGCUUACCAAGCCGACGAUCUGUAGCUGGUCUGAGAGGACGACCAGCCACACUGGAACUGAGACACGGUCCAGACUCCUACGGGAGGCAGCAGUGGGGAAUUUUGGACAAUGGGCGAAAGCCUGAUCCAGCAAUGCCGCGUGUAGGAUGAAGGCCCUCGGGUUGUAAACUACUUUUGUACGGAACGAGAAGGUCUUUUCUAAUAAAGAAGGCUCAUGACGGUACCGUAAGAAUAAGCACCGGCUAACUACGUGCCAGCAGCCGCGGUAAUACGUAGGGUGCGAGCGUUAAUCGGAAUUACUGGGCGUAAAGCGUGCGCAGGCGGUUAUAUAAGACAGUUGUGAAAUCCCCGGGCUCAACCUGGGAACUGCAUCUGUGACUGUAUAGCUAGAGUACGGUAGAGGGGGAUGGAAUUCCGCGUGUAGCAGUGAAAUGCGUAGAUAUGCGGAGGAACACCGAUGGCGAAGGCAAUCCCCUGGACCUGUACUGACGCUCAUGCACGAAAGCGUGGGGAGCAAACAGGAUUAGAUACCCUGGUAGUCCACGCCCUAAACGAUGUCUACUAGUUGUCGGGUUUUAAUUAACUUGGUAACGCAGCUAACGCGUGAAGUUGACC